UACAGAGGUCUCAAGCGUUGUUCGGAUUCAUUGGGCGUAAAGGGUGCGUAGGUGGCGAGGUUAGUCAGGUGUGAAAUCUCGGGGCUCAACCCCGAAACUGCACUUGAUACUGCCUUGCUAGAGUACUGGAGAGGAGAUUGGAAUUUACGGUGUAGCAGUGAAAUGCGUAGAGAUCGGAGGAACAUCAGUGGCGAAGGCGGCCAUCUGGGACAACACUGACGCUGAGG
rnacentral:rRNA from 1 species